rnacentral:lncRNA from 1 species
UCCCGGUCCUCCCUCGGCCCUUGCCAAGAUCUUCGCAUCUGCUUCUAAGCCUCAGUAGGUCGCCAUACUCUGCACCGUCUCCCUUUCCUCCGCAACACGGAGUCCACCAAAGGGGUUUUAUUUAAUAGGGACUUUGGUCCAGCAGUGCGAUGAACUGAGUGAAAAGACAUUUCUCUAGUCCUGCCUCGGUUAAGCUGCCUGCUUUAUUUAAGAUGACCGUCUAGGCACUCUCUAUUCUGCUCUUGUAAGUGACUUUUUAUGUUUAUUUGCACGUGAGACACUCCGAAAUCAUCUGCUGCAGAACUCUGCAUCUGAGGAUUACAGUUUUAUAAAGCAGUUUCAUAACACUU